GGGUCGCUAGCUCAACUGGCUAGAGCAUUCGACUGAGUAGCGCGUCCACUCUCCGCCUGUGCGGUCAUGGAGGCGCUUCCUUCUCCUUGCUGGAUCGAAGGGUUCGGGGUUCGAGUCCCCGGCGACCCA
rnacentral:tRNA from 1 species